rnacentral:tRNA from 1 species
GGAAGCGAACGGGGACUGGUGUCCCUCCCGGUCUUCAAAACCGGUCGCCCCGGCGGUCGAGCCGUUGGGGGGUGGGUUCGAUUCCCACACGCUUCCGCCA